ensembl:snRNA U1 U1 spliceosomal RNA
UGGCUUUCUUGGUGGGUGAGACACCAUCCCCAGGAAGGUGAUUUCCCCAGAGUGAGGCUCAACUUCUGCACUCUGGGUAUGCUGGCUUUUCUGACAUCAUCAAAUGUAGGAAACUCAGCUGCAUGAUCUGUGGCAAAGGUGUACUGUGUCUAUGCUCUCUCCUA